AAGCGGCGGCUGGGCCCUGCAGGCGGAGGAAGUGGAAAAAGUCGCGGGAGGGUAGGGGACCGCGGAACUUCUGGUUGCUAUGACGACGGCAAAGCCCUGGAUUCCUGUCUCCUGCGGAGAGCAGAGGCUGCAAACGCAUCCGCAGACGCCUUUAUACGUACUCCAAAAUGCUAGUAAGGAUGAAGAUGAACUCUCCUCAGCCCGUGUCUUUUAACUGUAGAAACUUUUCUGAGAAAUGAAAAGAGGCUUGCUCAUGACUUGGAAGCGGUGGGCUGAGGCCUCCCAAGACCAUCUGGCUUGUUCCAUUGCCAGCCAGAGUGGAGGCGACAUUCACACGAACCCAGGAGCUGCAGGGGCGCGUGAGCUACAGCUGCCUUGUGGCAUCCAAGGAGUGCGCAGUGAGAUUCCGCAGGAGAAAUCACGCUUUGCAUGUUCUUGAGUACAAGAAACAUGUGUAAUGAGGGUUUUUGUUUGCGGGCAUGCCAAGGAGAACGACUGGAAUAUUAAAGUCAUCACAGCCUUUAUUUAAGGGAGAAGAGGACAAGCAUGAAUAUGCUGAUAGUUCAGAGAUAUUUAGGACCUUCAGCAGCUCAGCACUCAUCCUAGAUUUAUACAAAUACCUUUCCAGAGAUGAAGUUUUUAAAAGCCUUUUAAAGGAAUUUUAUUUGUUCUUUUCACGUGGGGAAAAGUGAUGAGUAUAUCUAUGCAAGUAUGAGAAAUGGCCAAGGCCACUCCAUGUAAUUUUUUACUUAUCCUAUAGCUACACAAAGAAAAUAGCACCAAGUGUUGUAGAGGAAAAUCUACUAGACUUCAAGCCCGGCUUGAAUUCAAUUCUGUGCUCUAAUUCAGACUCUAUCUUUACUUAGCUGAGUCAUAUAAAUUAUUUAAUUUUCUAGACUUCUCACUUCUCUUUCUUUCUUUUUUUUUUAGACUAGUCUCACUCUGUUGCCCAGGCUGGAGUGCAGUGGCGCGAUCUCAGCUUACUUCAGCCUCCGCCUCCCGGUUUCAAGUGAAUUCUCCAGCCUCAACUUCACAAGUAGCUGGGAUUACAGGGCAUUCAAGCAGCCCUGAGGAGAGGUCCACAUGGUGAGCCACUGAGGGCCUUGCCAAGAGCCAGCACCAACGGUCCAGGUUUGGAGUGUACCACCUUGGAAGUGAAUCUUCCAGUCCAGUCAAGCCUUCAGAUGACUUCAGAACCGUCCAUGUAAGCCACUCUUGGAUUCCUGACCCACAGAAACUGUUGGAGGCAUUAUCAACAGUUUCUAACAUCACAGACAGACAAACAUGUGCCUCCUGAUUGAAAAAACAGAACAUCACCUGUAGUCUUGCCAGUGAGAUCAAACUGAAGUCCAAUUAACCUCUGGAUCCAGCUGCCAAUUUGCAGGAAAUAGAGGAGAGAAGCAUCUGUUGAACUGCACCAUGAGUAUACACUCAGCAAAGGCCAAACUGUGGAAAAUGAUACAGGUCAAACAGCCUGGAUUCUUUAACAGGUAAAUUGUAAGGAAAAGAAGGGGCUGAAGGGGAAAACUUUAUAUUGAAAGAGACUUAAAUGAAAUUUUUUAAAUGGGCAGGAAUAAACUACAGUGUUUAAGAGUGCAUACUUUAGUAAUAAAAUGACAAAGAAACAGAAGGAAGUGAUUCCUCUAAAACAGUGGUUCUCAAGCUUUAAGUUUUCAUGAGAAUCACCUGGAAAAAAAUUUAAAACAUGGAUUGCUGGGCUCCACUCCAAGAGUUUUUUAUUUCUUAGGUCUGUGAUGGGGCCCAAUAAUUUGCUUUUCUAUCAAGAUUCUAGACACUUUGAGAACCACUGCUAUAAAAGUCGGGACAGUGAUUUCUUGGGAUGGGAGGGUAAGGAUGGAGGGAAGGGACUAUAAUUGAGACAGGAUAUGUGGAGGGGCUUCCGGGAUAACUGUCCUAGUUCUAUUUCUUGACUUUGGUGUUGGUUAUAAGAAAGUUGGACAUGUAAUAAUUCAUUAGGCUAUACAUUUGUUUCAUGUGUCUUUUGUAUCUGUUUUUUCUGUUUGUUUGUUUUAGACGGAGUCUCACUCUGUCACCCAGCCUGAAGUGCAAUGGUACAAUCUCAGCUCACUGCAACCUCCGCCUCCCGGGCUCAAGCAAUUCUCCUGCCUCAGCCUCCUGAAUAGCUGGGAUUACAGGCACGCGCCACCACGCCCAGCUAAUUUUUGUAUUUUUAGUAGAGACGGGGUUUCACCAUGUUGCCCAGGCUGGUCUUGAACUCCUGACCUCAGGUGAUCCACCCACCUCAGCCUCCCAAAGUGCUGGGAUUACAGGCAUGAGCCACCGUGCCUGGCCUUUUGUAUCUGUUUUAUUUUUUAAAUAAUAAGAUUAAAAAUAAAUAUUCUGCAUGAUUAAACAAAUACAGAUUUAAAUUUUUACAGUCCAAUUGAGUGAUUUCCUCAUGUUCCAAAACCAGGAAGUAGGUGUGGGACAUCUAUCUCCGUAUUGCAUACACAGUCUGGAUUCUAGUUGUAGACUCCAUAUGGGCUGUCAUACACGCUACUACAGAAAUGAGAGAAAUCCUUGGGAAAUGGAACCAUCUCACACAUGAGAGACAUCUCUGACAACUUAUUCAUAACUGAAUACUUCUCAUUUAUCUUUACCAGUAAGUGAUGUUUCUGAAGCACCAAUGAAAAUGAAGUCCUGAAGUCCUGUGCUCAAUAUGAAAUGUUGGAAGUUAGAAGAAAAAAACAAAACUUGGAUCCAAUCUCAAGGCACUUUUUGUUUAAUGGGAAGAAGUGGAUUAUUUUAAAAGCUAC
rnacentral:lncRNA from 10 species